rnacentral:rRNA from 1 species
UACGUAGGUGGCAAGCGUUGUUCGGAAUUAUUGGGCGUAAAGCGCGUGUAGGCGGCUUUGCAAGUCGGGUGUGAAAGCCCUCGGCUCAACCGAGGAAGUGCGCCCGAAACUGCAGAGCUUGAGUACCGGAGAGGAUGGCGGAAUUCCCCAAGUAGAGGUGAAAUUCGUAGAUAUGGGGAGGAACACCGGUGGCGAAGGCGGCCAUCUGGACGGAUACUGACGCUGAGACGCGAAAGCGUGGGGAGCAAACAGG